GCCUGGGUGGCUCAGUCGGUUGAGCAUCUGACUUCAGCUCAGGUCAUGAUCUCACAGUUUGUGGGUUCAAGCCCUGUGUCGGGCU
rnacentral:tRNA from 1 species